rnacentral:lncRNA from 1 species
UUUUUUUUUUUUUUUUUUUUUUUUGAGAUGGAGUCUCACUCUGUCACCCAAGCUGGAGUGCAAUAGUGCAAUCUUAGCUCACUGCCACCUCUGCCUCCCAGGUUCAAACAAUUCUCCUGCCUCAGCCUCCCAAGUACCUGAGAUUACAGGCGCCCACCACCACGCCCAGCUAAUUUUUAUAUUUUUAAUAGAGACGGAGUUUCUACUUGUUGGCCAGGCUGCUCUCGAACUCCCGACCUCAGGUGAUCCACCUGCCUCGGCCUCCCAAAGUACUGGGAUUACAGGCAUGAGCAAGAGGGUCACUUGAGCCCAGGAGUUUGAGACUAGCAUGGGCAACACAGCAAUAUUCCAUCUCUAAAAAUGUGUUUCUGUAACAUAUACGUAUAUAUACACUCAUACAUUCACAGCGUAUUUAUAAUACACAAAAUAGCUGGAAUACAGACUUAACUAUUCACAAUGGUUACUUCUAGAGAACGGGGAAUACAAAUUUCAGCUUUUUGCCCCACACGUAUAUACUUGUAUCAUCUGAAAUAUUUAAGCAAAUUGUAUGUAUAAAUUUGCCCCAAAACACAUAGCAGAACAAUGUAGUUUUGACUCAAAAAUCUUCAAAUCAUGAUGGAAUUGUCCUGCGAAAGUAAAGUUAUAGAGAUGAAAAGUCUCCCUCCAGCCUAAAUGCUCUUUUAUCUGACCUAUAUUACACACACCAAUGCAGACGCCCCAAUCCUUUCCCCACUGUCAUAAGAAUUUUUCAGUGAACUGCAAUCCCCUUUACAAACUAGAUGAUAGUUAGAGUCACCAGGCAAGAACGUGGAUCUAGUUCUGCUUUUUCAAAGCCCAAUGUUCCUCACAUAAUAGCAAUGCAUUCUUCAACCGGUCCACUGCCCCCAACACCUGACCUCUCUGUUGUACACAACUCAGCGAGGCCUGGGAGAAAGCAGGUGCAAAUUUCACUUACUCAGUAACAACACAUCCCGCCUGAUUCCUCUGCUGGGCUAGUUCUCAAGUCAUCUUUUUCUAAGCUUUCAUUUGGCUCUACCACACGUAACUAGUCUGGGUAAAACACUUUACCAGGUUGUUUUUUUUUUUUUUUUUUUUUUCCUUUGAGACAGAGUUUCACUCUGUAGACCACACUGGAGUGCAG